rnacentral:rRNA from 1 species
CGGGUGAGUAAUAUAUAGCUAAUCUGCCCCUUGCUGGAGGACAACAGUUAGAAAUGACUGCUAAUACUCCAUACUCCUUUUUACCAUAAGAUAAAUCGGGAAAGAAUUUCGGCAAGGGAUGAGACUAUAUCGUAUCAGCUAGUCGGUGGGGUAACGGCCUACCGAGGAUAUGACGCGUAACUGGUCUGAGAGGAUGAUCAGUCACAUUGGAACUGAGACACGGUCCAA